GAGUGUUAAAGUUAUUCCAGCGCAGCCGAGGCCUUGGACUUGAAUAUCUGUUCCCUUCUGCUAGCUUGGUGCAUAUAGCUAAUGAUCGCUAAGAUAUGCCGGCAGAGCUGCGGUCGACGCUUAUGUGUAAAUGCUUAAGGCUGACGGAGGGUCGUCGCAUGUCAAAUAUGCUGACUCUGCAAUCUUCAGUCCCAGUGCACUCUGAUCAUAUAACCGUGCACUCUGGAAAUUGGGUUGUACAUUUGUCUAGAUUCCAUCCAUCGCAGAUGACGAAGAUGCAGAGCGUGACGGAAGAUGAGAAGCUGGCUUAUCAGCGCCAAGGUCUUGCGAGAGCGCCAAAAGCUGAUCCAUACUCUCGACGCAGAGGAUUUUCUCUGCAUUGCAAAGAAAUAGCGACGCGAAGAGUGUAAAGAGUGGGGACAAAUAUGUUCGAAGGCGUUCAUAUGGCAAUCUUGGCGGUUCUAAAGAAGAUUUGCACUAUUCACAGUAAAAGCGAAAUCUUAUUACACUUUUUACUGAUGUCUACGCUUAUUUUAGCUAUAAGUUUAUAGUUAAAACUAUUUUUAUUUGAAGCUUAGGAAAAAACACGUUCAUUCGCUUGGAUUGGCGCUGGAUUCUUUUAUAAUAUUACCAGAAAAUUCAGUGCUGUAUACGAAUAUUGGUGAUUGAGCUAUUAAUGUGAACUAAAACAACUGAGACUAGAAUGAGAGUAGCGAUUUUCUCUACUUUGGGGGUACGCGUAAAAUAUGUAUGCUGGUCAUCCCCAUUAAAAUUUCGUUUUGAUUUUAUCUAACGCAUGACUUACUUUGACCCUUGCAAUCGCGA